AGGUGGGCAUUACUUUUACUAUACGUAUAUAGAGAUCCCCUGCGUGUCGUAGGCCUCUUAUACGAAUGAAUGCAUGUGAUGAUUUAACUGUUAAUUUCAGUUUUAUAUAUCUAUCAAACGAGUUUAAUGCUACCUUUGAACAAGUUAAUUCGUUACAAAUCUUUGAACUGGAAAAUAUUACAACUGUUGUCUUGCCAUAAAAUGUUUAAAUUUUAGUAUGAUAUCUAUCUGAUGUGGCUUUGCCAGUUAUGUAAUCGAAUUCGGGUCUUGAGCAGUUGAUAGCUAUCCUGCCAGGGCUAGUGUACACCAGUG
rnacentral:lncRNA from 1 species